GACGAACGCUGGCGGCAUGCCUAAUACAUGCAAGUAGAACGCAGUGGAGAACGGGGGAGUAAAGCGUAGGUAACUGCCUCAUAGCGGGGGAUAACUAUUGGGAACGAUAGCUAAUAACGCAAAGAGUGAGAUGGACCUGCGUUGUAUUAGUGAGUUGGUGAGGUAAAGGGCAACAAAGGAGACGAUACAUAGCCGAACUGAGAGGGUGAUCGACCACACUGGGACUGAGAACCGGGCCAGACUCCUACGGGAGGCAGCAGUAGGGAAUCUUCGGCAAUGGACGGAAGUCUGACCGCUCAACGGCGCGUGAGUGAAGAAGGUUUGCGGAUCUUAAAGCUAUGUUGUUAGAGAAGCGUUAACUAACCAGAAAGGGACGGCUAACUACGUGCCAGCAGCCGCGGUAAUUC
rnacentral:rRNA from 1 species